ensembl:lncRNA
UUAUUUCAGAAUCCAUAUUUUUAUUUCCUUCUUUAAAAUUAUUAUUCAGGCUUAAUUUUCAUUCACUUCAACUUUCCUGUUAAAAGUACUGCAAAAAUUAAUUGUUACAACAUGUAAGUUUACAAGGAAGACAUUUCAGGACCUUUGAUUUGAAACAGUGUAAAAUAACAGCUAAAAAAUGAUAAAGAAAUGACUUAGGCUUAAGCGUGAGCUUUGGUAGCAGGUACUAGGAAACAAUGAUUCCAUAUCUAAUUAUGUUUAUUCAUUUCACUGAGACUGUGGCGAAUAAUAAAACCCCACACUGAACAGUCUUUAAUCAGCAGGAUCAAAAACUGAAAAUUUACCAUUUAAUAUCCUUCAUGAGGUUCAAAUGGAUCCGAUGAAAUGUCACAUGGAUAAAUCGAGUUAGUAUCUUUGUGUAUUUCUUAAAACUUAAAUCAGGAAAUUUAUUUUUACAUGGAAAGACCUGGUGUUGGAUGCUUUCACCAACACCACCUUCUUUACGCUUUCCCCCUGAUUCCUUCAAUAAUGUUUCACAGGGUCAGACAGUCAGAGCUCAGGGUCCUCUUGGUGGCACCCAAGUGUCCAUCAACAGUCUGGUUCCCUACUCCCUGCAGGGUCUUGAACAGGGACCUGUGGCAGCUCAAAAGGAGAAUGGACCUUAGCUGUAGAAAUAUCGGUAUGGCAUUCAUCUCCAGGUUUUUUCCAGCCUUACAAAUGCACUUGAAGGGAAUCUGUCAUUCUUGACUGACCUCAAGCCCUUAGUUUAUCAUACCAUGCAGAAUUUAAGUUCUUCUCCAACAAGGAGACCAUGUCAGAGGCUCUGGGCUGCAUUAUCUUUGCAGUACAGAAACUGUGAUUUGGAUUUGCUAUAUCCACUCCAGUCAUUGCAUCUGAAAGUACAAGGGAUAAGGCUCUGUUCAGACAGUGACUUUCUCACUGGCUUGGUGACACAAUAAAACAAGAGUAUGAAGCAGCACGUGUGCCUGCCCCCCAGGGGAAAUCUGUGCAGUGGCAUCCCAGACAACAUUUUACAUAUUCACUAGGUUCUACUGUCUUAAUGUGGCCUUUGGGUCCAUGCUGUGAUCAAGUGUUCUGCCAUUAGCAUUUCUUCCUAUUGACACUGCUUUGUCCCAUCAUCACCUUUCAAUUCUAAGGUUUUACAUAUAAAAAUAUAAUAAAAAUUGUCUGGUCUUUUUUUUUUUUUUUUUUUUUUAAACAAUUGGGUAGAUAUAACCUCAGGUGAACAACAUAUGAAUUAAUGCGCUGUCAUUAUUUAAGAAAAGCUAAGCCAAAUGCAGAAGGUGUAAGUGAAUCGCUAAAAACACCUUACUGCUGCCAUUAAAAAGGAAAGCAGCAGCCAGGUGCUUCUAUUCGAAUGCUUUUGGUUAACCGACUAAUUUUCUAACUAUUUAAAGUCCAUGCUUGUGUAGUGAGAUUCAUUAGUGGAAAGACUUGCUAGUCCUCUCUGGAGUAGAUCAUCAUUAGACUCAACCAGCUAAACAUGUUAAAUGUUUAUUUUAUUUUGCAUUUUUGUUAAAUAAACAAUUAAACAGUGGAAUCUGUUGUGUGCAAUUUUACACCUGAGGUUAUAUUUAAAUUAUUUUAGAAGCUGCUAAAGACCAGAUUAUUUUUAAAAACCAUGUUCUGAUAUUAAAAGAAAACUUUUAACUAUGACUGCAAGCUAUCCACUUUGUUUACUGCCACUUGCAAUCAGGAGAGAAGGGAACAGAAAUUAUGAUGGUGGUCCUGUGUUUCCUGAUAAUGGUGAUUCGCGGCAGUCACUCCAAAUGUCUUGGACAAGAUUCUGAGAAGCCGGGUGUGAGCUACGACUUGGUAUUUCUAAUGUUACCUUUGUUUAUCACAUUAUCUAACUUCCAAGAAGUCUUGUGCAUUUCCUUUUCACUGUCAUGGAAUGCAUACUGCUC